GACGAACGCUGGCGGCGUGCUUAACACAUGCAAGUCGAACGGAAAGGCCUGCAGCUUGCUGCGGGUACUCGAGUGGCGAACGGGUGAGUAACACGUGGGUGAUCUGCCUUGCACUUCGGGAUAAGCUUGGGAAACUGGGUCUAAUACCGGAUAGGACAGCUGUUUAGUGUCAGUUGUGGAAAGUUUUUUCGGUGCAAGAUGAGCUCGCGGCCUAUCAGCUUGUUGGUGGGGUAAUGGCCUACCAAGGCGUCGACGGGUAGCCGGCCUGAGAGGGUGUACGGCCACAUUGGGACUGAGAUACGGCCCAGACUCCUACGGGAGGCAGCAGUGGGGAAUAUUGCACAAUGGGCGGAAGCCUGAUGCAGCGACGCCGCGUGGGGGAUGAAGGCCUUCGGGUUGUAAACUCCUUUCGACAGGGACGAAGCGUAAGUGACGGUACCUGUAUAAGAAGCACCGGCUAACUACGUGCCAGCAGCCGCGGUAAUACGUAGGGUGCGAGCGUUGUCCGGAAUUACUGGGCGUAAAGAGCUCGUAGGUGGUUUGUCGCGUCGUCUGUGAAAUUCCGGGGCUUAACUCCGGGCGUGCAGGCGAUACGGGCUGACUUGGGUGCUGUAGGGGAGACUGGAAUUCCUGGUGUAGCGGUGAAAUGCGCAGAUAUCAGGAGGAACACCGAUGGCGAAGGCAGGUCUCUGGGCAGUAACUGACGCUGAGGAGCGAAAGCAUGGGUAGCGAACAGG
rnacentral:rRNA from 1 species